rnacentral:lncRNA from 1 species
UCCGUGCUAUAUUUGAGUAGCCUCCGUGCUAUGUCGACUGGCAUACAGAGGGUGUAAUUCUAGAACGGUUUUCUACAGUGCAGUAGAACUCCGAUACAGUGAAUCUGGGCUGUUGGUUGAUACUCUGCCUUGCACAAUUUUGGGCAGUGCUUCGAAACGUCUUAAAGAGAGCGACCUAGUCCGCGACUCAUCCCAGUAAUAUUUUCGGUGGCAUAAAUUGUUUUCAAAGGUUUUCGAGUUUCAAAAACAACAGAAGUUUUCACUGACAGUUUCCGUGGUGCCGUGUGUUGUAAAUAUAUGGAUAUUGUAUUAGUAGUUUUGUUAUUUUGUUAUUGGAUUUGCAUGUGAAAUGGGUAUUUG